AUUCUAAUAGUGUAAUUAUGCAUACUUUAUUUUGAUUAAAGAGGAUUGAGUUAUAUUAGAAUA
rnacentral:tRNA from 1 species